ACAGGACGGGGCUACCUGCAGUCGACGGUAACAGGAAGCAGCUUGCUGCUUUGCUGACGAGUGGCGGACGGGUGAGUAAUGUCUGGGAAACUGCCUGAUGGAGGGGGAUAACUACUGGAAACGGUAGCUAAUACCGCAUAACGUCGCAAGACCAAAGAGGGGGACCUUCGGGCCUCUUGCCAUCGGAUGUGCCCAGAUGGGAUUAGCUAGUAGGUGGGGUAACGGCUCACCUAGGCGACGAUCCCUAGCUGGUCUGAGAGGAUGACCAGCCACACUGGAACUGAGACACGGUCCAGACUCCUACGGGAGGCAGCAGUGGGGAUAUUGCCAAUGGGCGCAGCCUGAUGCAGCCUGGCGGUGUUGAGAAGGCCUUGGUUGUAAGACUUCGCGGGAGAGGGACAGGUUAAACUUGCCAUGCGUUCCGCAAAACACGGUAUUAGGACCUCCGAAAAAAGAAA
rnacentral:rRNA from 1 species